CAGCCGCCGCGGUAAUACCGGCGGCCCGAGUGGCGGUCACUAUUAUUGGGCUUAAAGCGUCCGUAGCCGGGUUGGGAAGUCCUCCGGGAAAUCUGGCCGCUUAACGGUCAGAAUGCCGGAGGAUACUCCCAGCCUAGGGAGCGGGAGAGGCCGAGGGUCUUCCCGGAGUAGGGGUGAAAUCCUAUAAUCCCGGGAGGACCACCUGGGGGGAAGGCGCUCGGCUGGAACGCGUCCGACGGUGAGGGACGAAGGCCAGGGGAGCAAACCGGAUUAGAUACCCGGGUAGUCCUGGCUGUAAACGAUGCGGACUUUGUGUCGGACAAGCUAUGAGCUUGUCCGGUGCCGGAGGGAAACCGUUAAGUCCGCCGCCUGGGGAGUACGGCCGCAAGGCUGAAACUUAAAGGAAUUGGCGGG
rnacentral:rRNA from 1 species